rnacentral:lncRNA from 10 species
GCAGUGAAAUGCUUUGCCAAGUCACAUAGCUAAUAAGGAAAGAGAUGGGAUUUGAAUCCAAGUCUGUCUCCAAGAAGUAACAUUUCUGCCAACAACAACAUCCACUCCUACUCAGCUCUUCGUUCCCUGCAAUUCCUGUCUUGCCCGACCCCUGCAGAGUGGAAGAAGGUGAUGGAUGGGCAGAGAAAUGGGAGAUGGACAGCUACCAGGGAAGAAUCUGUGAUUUGGGAGCCUUUUGGUGACAUGCACAUUCAAAGGACUAGGAAAGAAUGGCUUUUUCAAACAGCAUAAAUAGAAAACCAGUGGGCCCGAGCGCUCACUGCUACAUAAUGAACGUGCCUGCCUUUUCCUAACAACAUUUUAAGUCGGUAAUUGGCCCGACAGGGGACGUGAACUGUACACUGAGUCACAGAAUAGUACAGAAAAUCUCAGAAUGGCUUCACCUCCCAUCAGGAAAGCCUCCCGUGUACCAAGCCCUGUAGAGACACAUUUCUGGCAUUUGGAGGAGUGCAGACGUUCAAAAUAAGAAAGAGCUUCAGAGGACAACCGUCCCCUGGGUUCCCGGCCUUUUCCACAUCAGAAGACUCUUUGAUAUGUUCCCCUCUUUCCCUAGGGCCCCUUGUUCUAAAGGAUGCAGCCAGCAAACUAAACUGCUCUGAUCAUCUAAAAAAAAAGGAUAUGUUUCCCACAGAAUAACCACAGAUCUAUAUAACGAAUGAUCACUCAGUUAAUAUGAUGCCUCUAAAAGAUAAGUGGCCUGUCUCAUCUAAAAUAAUCAUAAUAUCAAUAAUAAUAUGAUUUUAUUGGGUGCUUACUAAAGCCCAGAUGAGGGAUUUACAAUGCUUAUCUUACUUAAUCCUUAUGAGACUGUCAUAAAGUUGUCUUUAUUUCACAGUUCAGGAAACAGAGGCACAGAGGAGUUCUGUAACUUACCAAACUAGGUUCAAAACUCAGAUUUAUCUGACUGCAAAGUCACUUUUUUUUUUUUUUUUGGAU